UGCUGCAAUAGCUUAGCUGGUAGAGCACAAGACUCUUAAUCUCAGGGUUCACGGGUUCAAGCCCCACAUUAGGCAA